ACUUAAAGAAAGAAACUUAAAGAAAGAAGAAAGAAGAAAGAAGAAAGAAGAGCCCACUCCGUUUCCCUUUCUUUCUCUAAGUUUCUUUCUCUGAGUUUCUUUCUUACCU
rnacentral:ribozyme from 14 species